rnacentral:rRNA from 1 species
CCGGGCCUUGUACACACCGCCCGUCACACCAUGAGAGUUUGUAACACCCAAAGUCGGUGGGGUAACCUUUUAGGAACCAGCCGCCUAAGGUGGGACAGAUGAUUAGGGUGAAGUCGUAACAAGGUAGCCGUAGGAGAACCUGCGGCUGGAUCACCUCCUUUCUAAGGAA